GACCAGAUGGCUCAGUGGUAGAGCAUCUGGUAUAUAUCCAGGAGGUCCUGGGUUCAAUCCCCAGUUAACUCU